AAACCUGAGGUUUUACGGAGCGACGCAACAUGCACGGUGCCAUCUCCAGUGAUGCUUAACGGUGCAUCCGGGAUAUGAAAAGAUGACACUGCAAAUUCCCACAAACAUCAUGCAGAAUUCACGGACUGGAAUGGUUGUUGGUGGAAGAUGGUGCAGAGUCUAAGAGAAUUGACGUAUUAUCUUGGAUCCCAGUGGCAAGGGAACACUUCUGUCCUACAAUAAUCUCUCCCAUCCCCAACAGGAAAAAGGUAAAUUGUGUAUUCUGUUAUCUCUGCAGUCUGAGAAAAAUAACAAAUAAUCUAUUUUAAGUGAAAAUUUAUUGCUUGAUGUUCUGCUUCUGAUCCCCGUUGACACAUUAUUUUUUAUUUUUGUAUGCAUUGGCCCUAUUAGAUGGGGAUGAAACCUUGUUACAGCAAUCUCAAACACAGGUGUACUUAUCAUUGGCUUUUCCAGCGACUCCUCUUCCUUCUCACUGGCAGCCAGCACACCUGGCAUCCCGCACCUGCCACUGACUUCCUUUUAACAACUGAUCUGGACAUCAUGAUUUUAUGACCUUGCAAACUAAAACGCGAUCUCUUUACUGUAAUAAAGAAGAAAGAAAAAACCA